ensembl:lncRNA
UGAUUAUACUAGGAUUGUUUGUUUUGUAAGAAUAGAAUGACAAAAAAAAGAAUAGCAUGGAGGAGAGGGGCUGUCCUCUUCACAGCAAAUCGGUGGACAACUGAUAGCCACAGGAUUUAUAACUGGUUAUCGAUAAGGAUGUUACUGCAGAUGCUGAACACUGAUAUCACAUAGAACACUGGACUUUUUCAGGCAGAGGUUCACAUAUCAUCCAAAAGAGCUAUAGGAGGUCCCUGAAUCCUAAGCUCAGAGUGCCAGCCUAUAAUCCUU